rnacentral:misc_RNA from 1 species
GCUCGUAUUCUACAAAAAUUGUUCAUCGGUUGUAGGAGGAGAACUGCUGGAUUAAGAUAUCUCUUGUUGACGUUUGAACUCAUUUUUUAGGUUUCUAUUCACCUUGGUUUCUUACUGAUUUAUCUACANNNNNNNNNNNAACUAUGUUGAAUGCUAGGCCUUCUAGGACUCUUGAGUAGCUCUCUAGGGUUGCUUGUCCCACAUCCCGAUUGUACUGUAUCUUGCAUGUGUCUAGGGAUGUCUGUGAAAGUUCAGGAUACCUCUGCUUCAAGCAGAAGAGCAAGCUUUCCGCUCUUUCUGCUAAAACAUGAUUUUUGUCAGUUCGAUCAAUGUCAGACAUGAGGUCUUUUACCAUUUCCCAAGAUGAUUUUGAAUGCUUCAUGCACGCUUUACGUCUCCACGUAUACAUUGAAGCUUCUAAUCGAUCUGCAAGCUCAAGUGCUUCAUGUUCUGAUGCUAUAUUGAGACAGUCAAGAACAUAAUCUGGGGAAAAUAUGUCUGUUGUACACAUGUAGCGGUAAGUUACGUCACCUAGACUCGCUCUUCCACUCUUGGGAAGUGAUGCCAUGUAUGUGUCUGGAAUUUCCAUCUCA